UUCACUCAAAAUCUUAAGGUGAUAAGUGCGUGGAAGUGCAUAAUCUCCACUUUUUUAAUCAAUGCAAGAUUUUUCCACACUUGUUUCUCAACACGUUCAACUCAACUUGGUUUUUCUCAACAUUCACUAUCUAGUGUGAGUAUAUCUACAAUGUUUUCCCUCAAACGUAAGCUCUUUCAUCCACAUAGACUUGUACUGUCAUUGACACUUUUUU
rnacentral:lncRNA from 1 species